rnacentral:lncRNA from 1 species
AACACUCUUCGGUUCUUUUUCCUCUUAUUUUUUUCUUUAUCCACUUAUUCCAAAUGAGAUGGCGGUCCUCUUCUUACCUUUGACCCAGCAUAAGUGUACUCUCAUUCUAGUUAGAUCUAAUGGUCCAACAUGAAACUGAUUUGACCUCUCUUGUAUGAUGUUAAUUCAAAGCACUGACCGAUGUCUUUCUCUCUCUAAAAAUCUCACAUUGUAGCUCCACGGUGCGAUGUACGGAAGUGGGAUCUAUCUUAGCCCAAUGUCGAGCAUAUCGUUUGGUUACUCAGGUAAUCCAGCACUGCUACUUGAUGAGCUGGGGGAUGUCGGAGGUGAACUGAAAGCAUACGUUGUAGGCAGUCUGGAAAAUUUUAAAUGUGGAAAGAAUGAUCUUCUGUUUAUUGGCAUUGAGUAGUGGAAUUUAUGGUUAGUAUGUCUUUGCAUUUUUAAAAUUUGACUAUGGAGUAAUUAAACACUUUGUAAACAGAUUUAAAUUACACAGAAUAAAA